AUACGUAGGGGGCGAGCGUUGUCCGGAAUUACUGGGCGUAAAGGGUGCGUAGGCGGCAUGUUAAGUUGGAUGUGAAAUACCCGGGCUCAACCUGGGGGGUGCAUUCAAAACUGGCAAGCUAGAGUGCAGGAGAGGGAAGCGGAAUUCCUAGUGUAGCGGUGAAAUGCGUAGAUAUUAGGAGGAACACCAGUGGCGAAGGCGGCUUACUGGACUGUAACUGACGCUGAGGUGCGAAAGCGUGGGGAGC
rnacentral:rRNA from 1 species